GGCAUGCCUUUGCUAGGCAGCAAGCUGGGGCUGAGGCUAUAAAGAAAAAAGUAAAUGAAAAAACCCUUUUACUAAGUUAGAAAACAGGGCAUGAUGAUUAAGAUUAACAAGAAGGGCCAUCUUCAUUCAAUUAACAAAUGAUGGAGUCUUUCACUGUCACACAUGCUGGAGUGCAGUGGCAUGAUCUCGGCUGACUGCAACCUCUGCCUCUGUGUUCAAGCGAUUCUGCUGCCUCAGCCUUCCAAGUGGCUGGGAUUACAGGCAUCCACCACCACGCCCAGAUCCUGGCAACACCUAUUGUAUUCUCUGUUUCUGUGAGUUUGACUAUUUACAGGCAUCUAGAAUCAGUGGAACCAUGUAGUAUUUGCCCCGACGUGACUAGAAUAUUUUAUGCAGCAUAAUGCCU
rnacentral:lncRNA from 13 species